CCGAUCACCGAAGUUAAACAACGUUUGAGCCUGGUCAGUACCUUGAUGGGUGACCACUUGUGAAUACCAGGUGCUGUAAG